rnacentral:rRNA from 1 species
AGCAGCAGUGGGGAUAUUGCACAAUGGGCGCAAGCCUGAUGCAGCCAUGCCGCGUGUGUGAAGAAGGCCUUCGGGUUGUAAAGCACUUUCAGUCAGGAGGAAAGGUUAGUAGUUAAUACCUGCUAGCUGUGACGUUACUGACAGAAGAAGCACCGGCUAACUCCGUGCCAGCAGCCGCGGUAAUACGGAGGGUGCGAGCGUUAAUCGGAAUUACUGGGCGUAAAGCGUACGCAGGCGGUUUGUUAAGCGAGAUGUGAAAGCCCCGGGCUCAACCUGGGAACUGCAUUUCGAACUGGCAAACUAGAGUGUGAUAGAGGGUGGUAGAAUUUCAGGUGUAGCGGUGAAAUGCGUAGAGAUCUGAAGGAAUACCGAUGGCGAAGGCAGCCACCUGGGUCAACACUGACGCUCAUGUACGAAAGCGUGGGGAGCAAACGGGAUUAGAUACCCCGGUAGUCCACGCCGUAAACGAUGUCUACUAGAAGCUCGGAGCCUCGGUUCUGUUUUUCAAAGCUAACGCAUUAAGUAGACCGCCUGGGGAGUACGGCCGCAAGGUUAAAACUCAAAUGAAUUGACGGGGCCCCCCA